CAUAGUUUUUUAGCAUCAGGUACAGAAUAACUUUAAUAGGGAAUCCCGUUAAAAUCGGGAGCGGUCCCGCCGCUGUGAACGGGGACGAAAUCCGGUUAAAAUCGGGAGCGGUCCCGCCGCUGUGAACGGGGACGAAAUCCGGUAAGACCACUGUCUUUUAGAGAUGGGAAGGACCGGAGAGUAGGGUGAUCCGUGAGCCAGAAGACCUGCCUGAUGCCGUUUGGUGGAC
rnacentral:ncRNA from 1 species